ACGCGAAAGCCCCCUUCGGGGGGGCAAGUAGAGUGGCGCACGGGUGAGUAACACGUAGGUAAUCUACCUUUGGAUUGGGAAUAACCACCGGAAACGGUGGCUAAUACCGAAUAAUGCAGCGGCACCUAAUGGUGACAGUUGUUAAAGCGGGGGAUCGAAAGACCUCGCGUCUGAAGAGGAGCCUGCGGCAGAUUAGCUAGCUGGUAAGGUAACGGCUUACCAAGGCGAUGAUCUGUAGCCGGCCUGAGAGGGCGGUCGGCCACACUGACACUGACAUACGGGUCAGACUCCUACGGGAGGCAGCAGUCGGGAAUUUUGGGCAAUGGGCGAAAGCCUGACCCAGCAACGCCGCGUGAAGGAUGAAAUCCUUCGGGAUGUAAACUUCGCAAGAACGGGAAGAAUAAGUAAGGGUUAAUAUCUCUUACGAUGACGGUACUGUUUGUAAGCUCCGGCUAACUCCGUGCCAGCAGCCGCGGUAAUACGGGGGGAGCAAGCGUUG
rnacentral:rRNA from 1 species